UACGUAGGUGACAAGCGUUGUCCGGAUUUACUGGGCGUAAAGAGCGCGCAGGCGGUCGUUCAAGUCGGGUGUGAAAGCCCCGGGCUCAACCUGGGAAUUGCAUUCGAGACUGAAUAGCUAGGGUACGGUAGAGGGAAGUGGAAUUUCCGGUGUAGCGGUGAAAUGCGUAGAUAUCGGAAGGAACAUCAGUGGCGAAAGCGACUUCCUGGACCAGUACCGACGUUCAGGCACGAAAGCGUGGGGAGCAAACAGGA
rnacentral:rRNA from 1 species